rnacentral:rRNA from 1 species
AUUCCAGCUCCAAUAGCGUAUAUUAAAGUUGUUGCAGUUAAAAAGCUCGUAGUUGGAUUUGUGGUGGUGCCUGCGGUCCAAAAUGUUUUGGUGCUGUCGGGCACUGCCAUCCUUGGGUGGAACCUGUGGGGCAUUAGGUUGUUUUGCAGGGGAUGCCCAUCGUUUACUGUGAAAAAAUUAGAGUGUUCAAAGCAGGCUUACGCCGUUGAAUAUAUUAGCAUGGAAUAAUGAGAUAGGACUUUGGUGCUAUUUUGUUGGUUUGCGCACCGAAGUAAUGAUUAAUAGGGACAGUUGGGGGUAUUCGUAUUCCAUUGUCAGAGGUGAAAUUCUUGGAUUUUUGGAAGACGAACUACUGCGAAAGCAUUUACCAAGGAUGUU